rnacentral:lncRNA from 1 species
UUUUUUAUUUUCAUAUGUUGGUGUUGUCUGCAUUAUUUUAGGACAAGAUUUUCAUAGGUCAAUUUGAUACCCGUGUGAGGAAGUACUUCUUGGUGAGUGGUCCAGAUAGCAUGGAUGCACAUGAUUCGGUAUGCAAUAUCUUGUUCUUUGCCUCUGUAUUAGUUUUGCACUAUGAUCCACCUUGUUAAUAUUGUUUUAUUUUUCUUUGUACCGUUUGAUAUUAAUUCUCGGUUUUUAAUGAUUCACGUGUUUAUGUUGCUUCAGGUUGUUUUCCCCACUUUUGACCCGCCUGAGAUUCCUGCUUCCAUGGGUGGUGUUGGUCAUUGGGUUUCGAUAUUUCUUGACAUGAAGAAUUCAAGGUUCCAGCUUCUCGACUCCUAUUAUGGACCAGACGAUGAUUGUGCGGUACGCCUGUUUCGGUGGAUGACCGAUAACAUCAAGAAGCUUUGGAGCGAUGCGAGCAACGACAGGGAGACACCCUUCAGUCCUCUUACCAUCGACCAUUUCCCUCUGGACUGGAUUGAUGUCCCCCAGCAGACUAACAAGUAUGAGUUCCACUUUUCUCUUUAUCACUUAUGUUUAUCUGUAGUUGUACUUAAGCUGCGACGUGUUUUAUUCGUUGGCUUUCUUUUUCUGUUCUAACACUAUUCUUUUUCUGUGUUUGAUGGCAGUAUCGACUGCGGAUUUCUUCAUGCUUACGAAUGUUAAUUAAUAUCAUGAUGGGGUUCUUGCAAAUUAUUCCCAUGAUAAUAUCUUGGAUAUCAGGAAGACGUGGUUGUACUCAAUCGCUUCUUCUAACCUGUUUGAGACAGACUUCCAAGCUCUGUUUGGCUACUACACAUGUAAGUCUUGGAACUUGGACUGCUUACCUGCCCUGCAUCUUUUAUUCUACCUGAACUUCAUAUUUUCUUUGAACUUGAACUUUUUCUUGAGAUCUAGCUGGGCUGCUGGUUUCAGGUGGAGAGGAGCAUUUCUUGUACAUGAACUUCAUUUCUAUCUUUUUUAUUUUGCUUGUGUGUUUUGUUUCAGUAAUUUCUUUCCUUCCAUUGCUUACUUGGACAUGAGCAUUUCUUCUACUUGAACUUCAGAGAUGAUGCCUUUCUAUGGUUUUGUUAGCUGUAGUUGAAUGUUUUCCAGUUCAUCGGUUUAUCUUGAACUGUGCCUUUGGUUGUGCCUGAACUUCAUUUAGUUGUUAAUGCAACUAAUUUUUUUAGGUUAGCUUGAGUAGUAACCAUGUCAUCUGUAUUAGUUGGACUGCACAUUGUGAUGUUCCUGAACUUCAGUUAUAUUUAAUGGUGAUGUUUUUCUCUUCCUUUUCUUUGACAGUGGAUCAGUUGGACUUGACCGAUUACCACUACUCAUUCCUCGGGUCACAGGAAUACCAGCCUAGGGAGGAAUCGAUGAGUACAACUCCGAUAGAAGAUGAUAGACCUCGAACCCUUAUUCCUUCCAAGUUGGGGAAGCAGGCUGGUGGUAUUCGUGGUACUCCAAAAAACCCUUGCUCCAGGAAGGUUGGUGCAGUCGAAGCAGCCGAAGCAGAAGUGAUUUCGUCCGAUGAUGAUUUUGAGAAGAUUGCUUACCUGAAGAAUGGUAAAUCUGCUGCUGGAACUGUUGCUGGGAGAGGUGGGAAGAAUGUUGUCAUCACUAGGAGGAAACCGGCAGUUGAGUCUGGCAACAUAACUACCUCCAAGCGAACAUCAAGAUUGCCUUUGAAGUGGCGUUCUGCUGUCGCUCCCCUAAAAAAUACAGUUAUCCUCAUCUAUCCGAGGCCCGGAAGUUGAAACAGUAUGUGCUUAGUAAAGAGGGUCUGGAGAAGUAUUCUGAGUGAGUUUUCUUCUUCUUAACUUUGUUGCUGCCAGAGAUGCUACUUUGUGUCUGAACUUCUGUUGUUGUAGUAUGUGGACUUCUGUUCAUUUCUCCCUUGCCUUGGAGUUAUAUUGUCUGAACUUCUGUUGUUAUAGUAUGUGAACUUAUGUUUAUCUCUCUCUGCCAUUGAGUUAUAGUAUCUGAACUUCUGUUUGUUAUUGUAUCUGAACUUCUAAUAUUUUUCCCAUCCUUUUAAAUCUGCAGCACAAGCUAAUGCAUGUUUACCAUCCCUGGGAAUGUGAUUGACCUCAUAGGACAUGUCCUUUAUACCCUUUUCGGUGAAGGGCAGCAGAUGGAAGGAGACAUAAUGGAUUAUCUCAUAAAUUUGUGGAAGGAUAAGCUGGAGACCUCUGAGAUAUUCUCUUGUGCUGACACGGUUGUACUUAGUCCCUACUUCAUACAGGUGUUAAUUCUUGUGCACCCCUAUAUCCCUUUUUGCUCUAGUUUUGGUGUAGUGGCGUCUGGGAGGUGUUUUAAUUGUGAUUUUGUGAAUUCACGGUACUGCCUGGAGUAUGAUUUUUUCGGUGCAACAGUUCCAAACUUUGAUGUAAAAAAAUUUGCUGGUCUCCUCCCAAUGUUUGUUCGCAAGGAAGAAGACCUUCUUAACGCAAAGCUGGUUAGGUUUUCAUAACUCUUGCUUUUUUUAAUUUUAUGUACAUCAUUUUGCUGAGUUUGUCAAGAAGUUUUUGUUCAUCCCGGUUCUUCAAUACAUAUGCUUUAUAGUUUGUGUUCACCAUUCCUUUCAUUCUUGGCAGGUUUUUUGAUACUAUUCAAGCCAAUUGGCACAAUGGCGCACUACAGUGUGUAUGUGGUGAAUAGAUAUCGUGGAAGCAUUGACAUCCUUGAUUCACUUCCUUACGCUAAUAUGGAAACGUCACGAACAAGUUUCCACGGAGACUGCCAAAAUAUCGUGAGUGUUUCUUAGCCUGAACCUCCUUUCAUAUUCUCUUGUUUGACACGAAGUUUAUUAUGCCUUCUGUUGACAAAAUAUGUUUCUGUCUCUGUUGUGGUAAUACUGCUUGAACUGACUAUUAUUUGACAGUUGAACCUAUGCUAUUUUGUUUAGCUGGAUCUUAUGCAAGUGUCGUUUUUUAUGUACCUGAACUUAACUAAUUUGGUUAACAUGUUUUUGACUUCAUCUUAUUUUGUUAUUUCUGGCAGAUCAAGAGAUUUGUUGGGUUGCUCGAGGAGGUGUACGGCAAGGCUGCGUACAAAGCGAGCAAGCAGCCUAACUGGGUGACUAUUGCAAAGAGGCCGACUUUUAUUGAUAUUCCUAAGCAGAAGAAUAAUGAUUGUGGUUUCUUUGCCGUGAAGUUCUGCUCUUCAUAUGAUGGCAAUGAGCUUGUUGAAGAUUUUGGUGAUGUGGAAGUAUGUUUUGUCCUUGUUCUUGUCUCAUCAUCCUUUCAUUUUUCUUGUGUGUUUUUGCUGAGACGCUCCUGUUAUGGUUUUAGUUAUCCGUUACUAAACCAUCGUUUCAUUUUCUUUGUUUGCAGGCUGCUGCAGAGGAUUGGAAGGCUGAGUUCAUGCAUACUCUAAUGUUUAGCGAGAAGAAUGAAGUCAUGCGUGCAGAGCUCCCUAAAGAGAUCCAGUCCUUGGGCCCGUGAAUUCGAAGCAUUAGUUUCAUUGUAGAUUUGAUUUCAUAUAGAUUUUAGGUUUGAUAAUGUUUGGAACGAUUCCGUAAAGAUUUGGUUGUCAGAAUGUUUUAGUGAUUUGUUUAUCUAUAGCUGGAGCACUAUUGCUUAUGAUAUUGUGGACAAAUGUAUUUGGUGUGAAGAAUGAUUUGGCUUGUGAAUUUCAAUGUACUGCAUGGUUUUCAGUAUCCAUGUGUUGUAUGUUUUUGCCCCAACAGAUGUACCUGAACUUCUCUCCUCGACUAUGGUUGAACUUCUUGUUUUUUUGUGUUGUUUAAUUUUGGGCCCCAACAUAUGAUCGUGGACUUGAACUUCUGCUUUGAGACGUGGCUGGGCUGCUGGUUUCAGAUGGAGAGGAUUUUUUGUGUUGUGUAAUGUAUUGGUAUUUUUCAACCCAACCAAUAUGUAGCCUUUUGCAUCGAAUCUAUAUUUGUUUUUUUGUGUUUUUUCAAGUGCGAAUGGAUUUCAACUGUAACUUUGUGCAAAAAUAUUCUCAUACACUCCUUGAUGUUUCUUUAUCUUUUGUCGGCAUUGUACAUGAACUUCUGCACGUAUGCAAACAGAACUUCAUAUGUGAGCGCGUUGUCUUAGGCUUGCUAACCUUAGUUCAUACGACAAAACUUUAUUUUUUAAGCAUAUUUUUUCCUACAUCGAUUUUUAUAUACCAUUACACUGUAUAAUUAUUUGCUGGUUGCUCUUUUAUGGAAUACAACACCAGCACCUCCUGCCAUAAUAUACCAGAACUUCCACUGUAAUCUUACUUGAACUUCAUAGUGUAUAUUUUUCAUUUUUGUUCUUACUUGCACUUUUAUGGAAUACAUCACCAGCACAACACUUCCUCUCAUAAUGUACCAGGACUUCUGCAGUAAUAUUACUUGAACUUCACAGUGUAUAUUUUUCAAUUUAUUACAGCUUGCUCUUUCAUGCAACACAUCACCAGCACCUCCUCUUGUACUAUACUACUACUUCUGCAGUAAGCUUACUUGAACUACUACUGUAUAAUUUCUUUGAAACUUCAACAAUAAAAGUUCAAGUAAGCUUUCUCCUAAAAUACUGUUUUCUAUAGUGGAAUAAUAUUCUGCACAUUGACA